AGCGAACGCUGGCGGCAGGCCUAACACAUGCAAGUCGAACGGACCCUUCGGGGUUAGUGGCGGACGGGUGAGUAACACGUGGGAACGUGCCUUUAGGUUCGGAAUAGCUCCUGGAAACGGGUGGUAAUGCCGAAUGUGCCCUUCGGGGGAAAGAUUUAUCGCCUUUAGAGCGACCUGCGUCUGAUUAGCUAGUUGGUGAGGUAAUGGCUCACCAAGGCGACGAUCAGUAGCUGGUCUGAGAGGAUGACCAGCCACAUUGGGACUGAGACACGGCCCAAACUCCUACGGGAGGCAGCAGUGGGGAAUCUUGCGCAAUGGGCGAAAGCCUGACGCAGCCAUGCCGCGUGAAUGAUGAAAGUCUUAGGAUUGUAAAAUUCUUUCACCGGGGACGAUAAUGACGGUACCCGGAGAAGAAGCCCCGGCUAACUUCGUGCCAGCCGCCGCCGUAACAC
rnacentral:rRNA from 1 species